rnacentral:rRNA from 1 species
UACGUAGGUGGCAAGCGUUAUCCGGAUUUACUGGGUGUAAAGGGAGCGUAGACGGCAUGGCAAGUCUGAUGUGAAAGGUGUGGGCUCAACCCGCAAACUGCAUUGGAAACUGUCAGGCUGGAGUGUCGGAGAGGUAAGUGGAAUUCCUAGUGUAGCGGUGAAAUGCGUAGAUAUUAGGAGGAACACCAGCGGCGAAGGCGGCUUACUGGACGAUAUCUGACGUUGAGGCCCGAAAGCGUGGGGAGCAAAC